CGGAAGCCAGAAUCACCUUGGGUCAGGGCGCCAAGAUGGCGUCCUCCGCCUCCGCUCGCACUCCGGCCGGGAAGCGAGUGGUGAAUCAGGACGAACUGCGGCGCUUGAUGAAGGAGAAGCAGCGUCUGAGCACCAACCGGAAACGGAUAGAAUCUCCAUUUGCGAAGUACAACCGUUUGGGGCAGCUGAGCUGUGCCCUGUGCAACACCCCGGUGAAGAGCGAGCUCCUGUGGCAGACUCACGUCCUGGGAAAGCAGCAUCGGGAGAAAGUGGCCGAGCUGAAAGGCGCGAAGGAAGCCACCCAGGGUCCGUCCGCCAGCUCAGUGCCUCAGUCAGCCAAGAGGAAGGUGUCGGAGGCGGACGGUCAAGAUGCCAAAAGACCCAAGGCCUCCCCGCUGCCCCAGGUACAGCCCUCCACAUCCGCUUUGUCCACCAACUUUGACAAAGCAGGGAAGGAGUCCACUAGAGCGACCCUCAUUAAGGUUUCAGGACUCGGUUUACUCCCUGAUUAUGAAGAUGAGGAAGAAGAGGAAGAGGAGGAGGAGGAGGAGGGAGGAGAAGGGAAAAGGGGAGACGCCGGCAAGCAGCCGCCCGAUGCACAGGGCAAGGAACACUCGCUUUCCUCCUCGAGGGAGGCAACAAGUAGUAUGCUGCCAAGCGGCUUCUCGGAUACAAAUCCUCCCAAGGCCCCUUUAAUUCCUCAUUCAGGGUCCAUUGAGAAAGCAGAAAUACAUGAAAAAGUAGUGGAAAGGAGAGAAAACACAGCGGAAGCAUUACCGGAAGGCUUUUUUGAUGACCCUGAAAUAGACGCUAGGGUUCGAAAGGUUGAUGCCCCAAAGGAUCAGAUGGACAAAGAGUGGGACGAAUUUCAAAAGGCCAUGAGACAGGUCAAUACCAUUUCCGAAGCCAUAGUUGCUGAAGAGGAUGAGGAGGGACGGUUGGACCGGCAAAUUGGGGAGAUCGAUGAGCAGAUAGAAUGUUACCGUCGGGUGGAAAAGCUUCGGAAUCGCCAGGAUGAAAUUAAAAAUAAGCUUAAAGAGGUUCUGACUAUAAAAGAACUGCAGAAAAAGGAAGAGGAGAAUGUUGACAGCGAUGAUGAGGGAGAACUACAAGAUUUGUUGUCUCAGGAUUGGAGGGUAAAAGGGGCUUUAUUAUAGGGUUUCAAAGACCCAAGAUUUCUACACCCUCUACAGUGGUACCAAAAGUGCUCUCUCUGGAUAUGAUCUUGGUUACUUCAUGCCUAACUGGGUUGUUAAGAUACAAUGAACCUGUGAAGAUAGCACUUUGGAAAGUUGGUGUAAAAUAUUUUUGAGCACGUCUCGAUUUGGACCGGCCAUGCUGCAAGAGCCUGAUAGCCACAUGUGGCUAGCAAUGACAGCAGCCAACAGCACAGGGCCUGGGAAAAAGGUAUAGUCAAGGGGGUUCUCAAAACAAUGUAGUAAAUGCAGUGAUAGAAAUCAGGAUUCCUCAACUGCCCGUUAAAAUUUGAGCCUCCAGUGACCUUCCAAACCCCAAAACCACGCUCAUUCUGCAGCACACUAAAGACUGCCCCACUCCAAACAGUGGGAUUGUGGUUGUCCUCAACCAAUCAAAUAUGUCCAAACAAAACUCAUCCUUUUACCCCAAAUACCUACUUCUCCCUGUUCAUUUUGUAUCUCAGUUGAUGGCACCAUUAUCUCCUGCUCACUCAAGUCAUUCUCAUUUCAUCUUUAGGUAAAUGAGCAUUGUAUCCAAGUAUUUAUUUAUCCAAUCCAAGUAUUUAUUUUAGGGGCGUCUGGCUGGCUCAGCCAGUAGAGCAUGCAACUGUGGAUCUCAGGGUUGUGAGCUCCAGCCCCGCGUCAGGUGUAGAGAUUAUGUAAAAGUAAAAUCUUCAAAAAAAUUUUUUUUUAAUAAAAAGUAAAAUCCGAAUAUUUAUUUUUUAAAAAAUGCCUGUUCCUCUCCAUCCCGACUAACUGAGCAUGUUCAGGCCACUUUCUCACAUGGGUCACUACCAGAAAUGUUUUGUUUUUUUUCCCAGCUUUAUUGAGAUGUAAUUCACAUACAUUACUACAGAAGUUUAAGGUGUACACAGCAUACUGGUUUGACCUAUAUAUUAUGAAAUGAAUGCGAAACUUACAAAACUUACCCAGUAAGUUUGGGUAGCAUCCACCAUCAUAUACAUAAAAUAAAAAGAAAAAAGGGAAAAAAAAAAAAGAAAAAAUUGUCUUUCUUUAAUAAUAUGGAACUCUUUAUGAAUUUGUGUGUCAUCCUUGUGCAGGGGCCAUGCUAAUCUUCUCUGUAUGUUCCCAUUUUAGUCUACGUGCUGCCUCAGCAAGCACCAAGAACCUUUCAUUUCUUCCCUUGCCUCAGUCUCUCCCUGACCC